AGGAUGGGCAUGCGUGAUAUUAGGUAGUUGGCGGGGCAACGGCCCACCAAGCCCACGAUAUCUAGGGGUUCUGAGAGGAAGGUCCCCCACAUUGGUACUGAGACACGGACCAAACUCCUACGGGAGGCAGCAGUGAGGAAUAUUGGUCAAUGGACGAGAGUCUGAACCAGCCAAGUCGCGUGAAGGAAGACGGAUCUAUGGUUUGUAAACUUCUUUAGUGCGGGAACAAAGCGGCGUCGUGACGCCUGAUGAGUGUACCGCAAGAAUAAGCAUCGGCUAACUCCGUGCCAGCAGCCGCGGUAAUACGGAGGAUGCGAGCGUUAUCCGGAUUUAUUGGGUUUAAAGGGAGCGCAGGCUGCGAGGCAAGUCAGCGGUCAAAUGUCGGGGCUCAACCCCGGCCUGCCGUUGAAACUGUUUUGCUAGAGUUCGAGUGAGGUAUGCGGAAUGCGUUGUGUAGCGGUGAAAUGCAUAGAUAUGACGCAGAACUCCGAUUGCGAAGGCAGCAUACCAACUCGCGACUGACGCUGAGGCUCGAAAGCGUGGGUAUCGAACAGGAUUAGAUACCCUGGUAGUCCACGCAGUAAACGAUGAAUACUAACUGUUCGGAGGGCGACCUCUGAGUGGUAAAGCGAAAGCGUUAAGUAUUCCACCUGGGGAGUAC
rnacentral:rRNA from 1 species